rnacentral:rRNA from 1 species
GAUGAACGCUAGCUACAGGCUUAACACAUGCAAGUCGAGGGGCAGCACAAGGCAGCAAUGCUGAGGUGGCGACCGGCGCACGGGUGCGUAACGCGUAUCCAACCUUCCCGUUACUCUUGGAUAGCCUUCCGAAAGGGAGAUUAAUACAAGAUGGUGUUGAAAUUCCGCAUGUUAUUUCAACUAAAGAUUUAUCGGUAACGGAUGGGGAUGCGUGACAUUAGAUAGAUGGCGGGGUAACGGCCACCAUGUCCACGAUGUCUAGGGGUUCUGAGAGGAAGGUCCCCCACACUGGAACUGAGACACGGUCCAGACUCCUACGGGAGGCAGCAGUGAGGAAUAUUGGUCAAUGGCCGGAAGGCUGAACCAGCCAAGUAGCGUGAAGGAUGAAGGUUCAUGGAUUGUAAACUUCUUUAUGAGGGAAUAAAACCUCCACGUGUGGGAGCUUGUAUGUACCUUAUGAAUAAGCAUCGGCUAACUCCGUGCCAGCAGCCG